rnacentral:rRNA from 1 species
CGGGACACGUGGUAUCCUGUCUGAAUAUGGGGGGACCAUCCUCCAAGGCUAAAUACUCCUGACUGACCGAUAGUGAACCAGUACCGUGAGGGAAAGGCGAAAAGAACCCCGGCGAGGGGAGUGAAAAAGAACCUGAAACCGUGUACGUACAAGCAGUGGGAGCACGCUUAGGCGUGUGACUGCGUACCUUUUGUAUAAUGGGUCAGCGACUUAUAUUCUGUAGCAAGGUUAACCGAAUAGGGGAGCCGAAGGGAAACCGAGUCUUAACUGGGCGUUAAGUUGCAGGGUAUAGACCCGAAACCCGGUGAUCUAGCCAUGGGCAGGUUGAAGGUUGGGUAACACUAACUGGAGGACCGAACCGACUAAUGUUGAAAAAUUAGCGGAUGACUUGUGGCUGGGGGUGAAAGGCCAAUCAAACCGGGAGAUAGCUGGUUCUCCCCGAAAGCUAUUUAGGUAGCGCCUCGUGAAUUCAUCUCCGGGGGUAGAGCACUGUUUCGGCAAGGGGGUCAUCCCGACUUACCAACCCGAUGCAAACUGCGAAUACCGGAGAAUGUUAUCACGGGAGACACACGGCGGGUGCUAACGUCCGUCGUGAAGAGGGAAACAACCCAGACCGCCAGCUAAGGUCCCAAAGUCAUGGUUAAGUGGGAAACGAUGUGGGAAGGCCCAGACAGCCAGGAUGUUGGCUUAGAAGCAGCCAUCAUUUAAAGAAAGCGUAAUAGCUCACUGGUCGAGUCGGCCUGCGCGGAAGAUGUAACGGGGCUAAACCAUGCACCGAAGCUGCGGCAGCGACGCUGAUGCGUUGUUGGGUAGGGGAGCGUUCUGUAAGCCUGUGAAGGUGUGCUGUGAGGCAUGCUGGAGGUAUCAGAAGUGCGAAUGCUGACAUAAGUAACGAUAAAGCGGGUGAAAAGCCCGCUCGCCGGAAGACCAAGGGUUCCUGUCCAACGUUAAUCGGGGCAGGGUGAGUCGACCCCUAAGGCGAGGCCGAAAGGCGUAGUCGAUGGGAAACAGGUUAAUAUUCCUGUACUUGGUGUUACUGCGAAGGGGGGACGGAGAAGGCUAUGUUGGCCGGGCGACGGUUGUCCCGGUUUAAGCGUGUAGGCUGGUUUUCCAGGCAAAUCCGGAAAAUCAAGGCUGAGGCGUGAUGACGAGGCACUACGGUGCUGAAGCAACAAAUGCCCUGCUUCCAGGAAAAGCCUCUAAGCAUCAGGUAACAUCAAAUCGUACCCCAAACCGACACAGGUGGUCAGGUAGAGAAUACCAAGGCGCUUGAGAGAACUCGGGUGAAGGAACUAGGCAAAAUGGUGCCGUAACUUCGGGAGAAGGCACGCUGAUAUGUAGGUGAAGCGACUUGCUCGUGGAGCUGAAAUCAGUCGAAGAUACCAGCUGGCUGCAACUGUUUAUUAAAAACACAGCACUGUGCAAACACGAAAGUGGACGUAUACGGUGUGACGCCUGCCCGGUGCCGGAAGGUUAAUUGAUGGGGU